GACGAACCGUGCGAACGUUUGUUCGGAAUCACUGGGCUUAAAGGGCGCGUAGGCGGACUGCCAAGUCCGGGGUGAAAUCCUCCGGCUUAACCGGAGAAUUGCCUGGGAUACUGGCGGUCUUGAGGGAGGUAGGGGCACGCGGAACUUCCGGUGGAGCGGUGAAAUGCGUUGAUAUCGGAAGGAACGCCGGUGGCGAAAGCGGCGUGCUGGCCCUCUUCUGACGCUGAGGCGCGAAAGCCAGGGGGAGCGGAACGGG
rnacentral:rRNA from 1 species